AUUCAGUUGACGAGUCCAAAACUGGACGAAACAUGUGUCUUAGGU
rnacentral:hammerhead_ribozyme from 1 species